UUGGACAGGAUACAAUUACAUCCGCUUCUAAAGAAGAGCAUGUUCUGGAUGGCAGCCGAGUUACUCUGACAUGCAACUACUCAGCUGGUAGUGUAAACAGUCUACACUGGUAUCGCCAACACUCUGGAUCCAAACCAGAAUUCCUCAUCCUCACCUAUUCUGAACAAAAGACAGACAAGCGGUUCACUGUUAAACAUGAUAAAAAGAACAGCCGUGUGCAUCUGGAGAUCUCCUCUGCUGAAGUGACAGACUCUGCUCUGUACUACUGUGCCCUGCAGCCCACAGUGACAGGAAAUCCAUAAACUCUGUACAUAAACCUGACACUGCCUGAGAUAGCAACCCAUCAGUUCUUUUUCUUGCAAAUUGUUAUAUGCUUCCAUAAAUAAUCAUGCCAUUAAAUAAAAAUAAAUAAUAAUAAAUCAAUCAGCUGACUACUUGAGAGGAGCAGCUGGUGAACACACAUUUAUAUUGUUUUCCACAGAUGACAGUUUUCAGGAUGAAAUAACAACAACAACUAAAGAAGUGCAUGUUUUGGAGGGAAACAUUGUUACACUUUCACACACUUACAAAACUGCUGCAAACUAUCUGCACUGAUAUCGCCAAUACUCCCAAUCAAAACCUAAAGACCUCAUCCUGGCCGUUGGGAACUAUCAAUAAGAAAGAGAAAUAAGGGCAGUUUGUUAUAAAAGAUAAAUGUAAAUGGUGUAGUACAAAGUACAAGCUUUAACCAUUCUGUCUGGCUCUUUAAAAUGAAACAUUUCCAUCAAUAAUAAUGUGUUCAGAAUUAAUUUCACUGAGAAGAUUUUCCCCAUCUGGUCUCUGUGACAUUAACAUUCAGAUGAAUGUGUUUAAUUUCAGAAUUUAGUUUUUGUUAGUUCAGUUUAGUUCAUUGUUGAUGUGGGCGAAUGCACUACUCUCAAAAACUAGAAUCUCCUAUACAAAAAACAUUCUAUGGCAUCCGGCCAUAGAAUCAUUCAAUGUACUUUCAAUUUAAGGGCACAGAGGCAGGCAUAUGUAUUACAGCAUAAUCAAUAAACCCAAAUAAAGUAGUGACUUUUUCCAUUAUAUAAUUUUAAUUAUGAAAUAUAUAUUCAGUUUUUAAGCCACCAUAUUUUAUUUAAUGUAUGUAAUGCAGCUCACUGCUUUGACAAGAUUAUUUUAUGCAACAAAUAAAAAUAGCCUUUCUCUAAACCAUUGAGGAUGUGAUUCUCAGUUGUGUUUUGUGUCCAGGGGAGGGGCUAACUACUCAGUGAGUGGGAGGAUUUUCAUGUUAACUAUGCAGAGGGAGUCAGAGUGGAGGACUUCAUCUGUUCUAGCUGUUCUUAAAGUCAGUGUUUCUUUUUAACAACUAUCAUGAUGUUACACUGUUUAUUACUUCUGUUUUCAGCAAUGGUGGAUGACAGUUUUCAGGAUGAAAUAAAAGCAGCUAAAGAAGUGCAUGUUUUGGAGAGAAACAGUGUUUCACUGUCAUGCACUUACACAGCUGCUGUAAACUAUGUGUACUGGUAUCGCCAAUACCCUCAAUCCGAACUUGAAUUCCUGAUCUCUGUUGUGAGCACAGACAGGACAGAAGGACCGUUUACUGCUAAACAUGAUAAAAAUAGCAAAACAGUGCGUCUGGAGAUCUCCUCUGUUGAAGUGACAGACUCUGCUCUGUACUACUGUGCCCUGGAGCCCACAGUGACAGGAAACCCAUCUUCUCCGUACAAAAACCUCACACUGCCUGAGACAAGGCAGCAACACAAGUACAAUUUUGAGACUUCAUCAUUGUAUGUCAAUUGCAGGUCAAUUAAUUUUAUUUUAAGGCCCACAUAACAAUUUGGUCAGAUCUCUGGAAAAUUUUAGUGAGCUCAAGCCAAAUGUAGUGCAUUAUUUAUAUGUAGCCUUCAGGCUUUAAGUGUCUGUAUCUAGAACUAUAAAUGACUUUGUGCACAAGUGCAUGCGUGUGUGAAGACAUAUGUGCAGAAGUUCUUGCACACCAGUAAAAUAUAAGGAGAAUCACUGGUACAAAAACAAUAUAUCUAUAUUACAUAUGGUGUCAUUGUCAUAUAAUGGGUAAUUCAUGAGAUAGAUUUCUCAACAUUAUAAAUCAAAACCAGGACCUAAAUAUGUGAGACUUCUGAAAAAAACUGUUCUUUUCCCAGAAAAAAACGGACACCAGGACAUAAGCUCAGUUUAAUUUGCAGUCAAAACCUCUAAAUGGCAAAACAACACAAUUUUCUCACUUAUGAUAUUUUGACCCUUUGGAAAUACAUUUAGACUAUGCAGUUUGUCUGUCUUCCUUGCUCUAAGUGCUUAAAAUACAGGGUCACUGUGUGGUUAUUUGAAGUGCAUUGUGAAAUAUGGAUCAUUCAUUAGAUAAGGAGGUUUCUCUGUUUGAAGCCACCAACAAGACCAGCACCACCAAAAAAAAAAAUGGUUUUCUUUUUUAUUCAGCUUUUAUCAGCUACCUACACCUCUCUGGAAAAAAUGGCAUGUCCUUGUUUACUGCAGUGAACUCCGUUAUCCACAAGAUGUCACUGUUUUAUGGAGUACAGUUUUCCCCCAAUGACUCUACUUCUUGUGAUUUCAAGGCUCCAAACUCAGGCAACCCAAGCAACACAGAAAAUAUCAUAAAUAAAAUGGAGCAGCCCAUAACAAAUUGACUAAGCCGAGGCAAAUAUUUUUGCAGCCUACUCAGUCCAAAUUUUCUAUUUAAAUUUAACAUGUGGCCAAGUCUGGUCUUCAGAAGCAACAGAAUGUUGUGAGUUGGGAGAUAUAUGUUAUUUGGCAAACACAUCUACAAAGUUAUCCACCUUUUCUCAACCAGAAAUUAAUUGUAUUCAUAAGUGAUGUGGGGCUGCUAUAUGUUUAAAGGAUUCAACUGGAUUGCAAAAAUAGAUGGAUUUAUUGAAUUGAGCAGCUGGCCAAAUUUUGACAAAGUAAGAUACUUCAAUGUAACAUUGCAGUUUUCUAUUAAAGUAAAAAUAUUGCAGUUAAUUCAAAGUAUUUUAUUUUUUAUAUCAAUAUAUCAGGACAACUUAUUUUCAUUUAGCAGUCUGAUUCUCAGCUGUGUUUUUUUUGUCCAGGGGAGGGGCUAAACAGUCAGCGAUUGGGAGAAGGCUAUGCAGAGGGUUCAGAGAGGAGGACUUGUUCUGUUCUAGCUGUGCUUAAAGUGAGUGUUUAUUUCUAACAGCUGUCAAGAUGUUUCACUGUUUAUUGCUUCUAUUUUCAGCAAUGGUGGGUGACAGCCUUGGACAGGAUACAAUCAUUUCCACAUCUAAAGAUGAGCAUGUUUUGGAUGGCAGCCGUGUUACUCUGUCAUGCAACUACUCAUCUGUUAGUGGAAAGAGUCUACACUGGUAUCGCCAGC